rnacentral:rRNA from 1 species
ACGUAGGAGGCAAGCGUUAUCCGGAUUUACUGGGCGUAAAGCGCAUGUAGGCGGUCUUGUAAGUUGGAUGUGAAAGCUCCUGGCUUAACUGGGAGAGGUCGUUCAAUACUGCGAGACUAGAGAGUGAUAGAGGAAGAUGGAAUUCCGGGUGUAGUGGUGAAAUGCGUAGAUAUCCGGAGGAACACCAGUGGCGAAAGCGGUCUUCUGGAUCACUUCUGACGCUCAGAUGCGAAAGCUAAGGUAGCAAACGG